CCGUUCCCUGUUUCCCAUUAAAUCCCAGUCCCAGUUCCUGACUGGGAGCAGCACUGGGCUGCUCUUAACCAGUUCCCCCCAAUUAACGAGGGUCCCCCUGCAGUUCAUGAGUUCCCACUGCUCUCCUGAGUUCUCUAAUGAGUUAUACCAAGUUUCUGUGUGCUUCCAGAAAUCCUGAGGUUCCUGCUCUGGGAUCUCCCAGUCCUGCAGCUCCCCUCACCUUCUGUGCCAUUCAUUGACCAUUUGCACUAAAAAUGUGGAAUUUUUUCUUGGCUUCCCUGUGUCUCUUUCUCUUUUUUUUUUUUUUUUUUUUAUCCCCCAUUUUUUUAGAUUUUAGUUUUAUCCUUCUUCACACUUUCCAGAGGUUUCCCCUCAUCUCUUGGGAAUAUUUUGGGAUAUUUUUUGGCAGGGUUUGAGCCCGGUAGGACACGUUCACUCCUGCUUGUUUCAGAUGCCUCAGGCUGUUCCAGGGCAGGGAGGAGACAAAAGGAGCUGAGACAGGAGAAACCUGGGAAGGACAGGAGGGAGCUGGGCCCAGGGACUCAGGGCCCUGUGCUGAAGGUGCAGAGGGAGCCUGGAGCUCCUGCUCAGCUCCUGGAGCUCCUGCUCAGCUCCUGGAAAUCCUGCUCAGCUCCUGGGGCUCCUGCUCAGCUCCUGGAGCUCCUGCUCAGCUCCUGGAACUGCUGCUCAGCUCCUGGAACUGCUGCUCAGCUCCUGGAGCUCCUGCUCAGCUCCUGGAACUGCUGCUCAGCUCCUGGAGCUCCUGCUCAGCUCCUGGAACUGCUGCUCAGCUCCUGGAACUGCUGCUCAGCUCCUGGAGCUCCUGGUCAGCUCCUGGAGCUCUGCUCAGCUCCUGGAGCUCCUGCUCAGCUCCUGGAACUGCUGCUCAGCUCCUGGAAAUCCUGCUCAGCUCCUGGAGCUCCUGGUCAGCUCCUGGAACUGCUGCUCAGCUCCUGGAGCUCCUGCUCAGCUCCUGGAACUGCAGCUCAGCUCCUGGAACUGCAGCUCAGCUCCUGGAGCUCCUGCUCAGCUCCUGGAACUGCUGCUCAGCUCCUGGAACUGCUGCUCAGCUCCUGGAGCUCCUGCUCAGCUCCUGGAGCUCCUGCUCAGCUCCUGGAACUGCUGCUCAGCUCCUGGAGCUCCUGCUCAGCUCCUGGAGCUCCUGCUCAGCUCCUGGAACUGCUGCUCAGCUCCUGGAGCUCCUGCUCAGCUCCUGGAACUGCUGCUCAGCUCCUGGAAUUCCUGCUCAGCUCCUGGAACUGCAGCUCAGCUCCUGGAGCUCCUGCUCAGCUCCUGGAAUUCCUGCUCAGCUCCUGGAAUUCCUGCUCAGCUCCUGGAACUGCUGCUCAGCUCCUGGGGCUCCUGCUCAGCUCCUGUGGAGGAAUGCCCUGGAAUGGCUCUGUGCUGGUGGCCAUCCCUGGCCGGGGGGGUUUGAACCCCAGAGUCACUCCAGGAUUUAACAAACCCAGAGUCACUCCAGAGUUUAAUAAACCCCAGAGUCACUCCAGAGUGAAGCAGCCAAGCAGGAGCUGAAGUUCUGAGAUUCUGAAAUUCUGUGAUCCUGAGUUUCUAAAAUUCUGGGUGUCUGAGAUUCUGCAAUUCUGAGAUUCUGAGUUUAUGAGAUUCUCAAGUUCUGAGUUUCUCAAAUUCUGAGUUUCUGAAAUUCUGAGCUUCUGAAAUUCUGAGAUUCUGAAAUUCUGUGUUUCUGAAAUUCUGAGUUUCUCAAAUUCUGGGUUUCUGAAAUUCUGAGGCUCGAGCGGCUCCGGCUCCUUCCCGGAUUUUUAACUCCGUGUGUAAAUAAGAGCUUUCUGUUUCUUAGACUUGUAAGCAGACCUUGCAAAUGGCCUUAAUUCCAAACUAGCACACCUGGGAUACAGCUGGCACAGUCAGGGAGCCUCCAGCUGGGAGAAAUGUGGCUUUUAAAGGGCUGGGAUCCCCUGGGGAUGCUGUGGGACAGGAUGGGCUCAUCCCGGCCCUGGAGAUCCAGGGAUUCCAGCAGCUCCUCCCUUCCCUUCCUGGGAGCUGCCCCAGAGGGUUCCCCCCUUCUUCAAAUCCCAGGUUUUGUGGCAUCAGGCUGAUCUGGAAGCAAACCCAGAGAAAAGCAUGGAGCAGAUCCCAAGUGUUCCAAGAAUCCACUUUUAUUUCCCAAGGAGCAACCCCUGCUCGUUUCAGUGUGUGGGGGGCUCCCUGCCCAGGGCUGGGAGCACAGAGGGGAAAAAAACAAACCAAGGACAAAAUGGUGUUAAAAACCAAGGAAGAAAUGAUGUUACAAACCAAGGAGGAAAUGGUGUUACAAACCAAGGAGGAAAUGGUGUUGAUUGCUGUUUUGCUCAGUUUGGUUUCAGUGCUGGUGAAGCUGUCUGCUGUCUCCAGGGGUGACUGUCCCUCCCUCCCUCCGUGUUUUUCUAUCUCCAUAACAGAUUAACCCCCCAGUCCCCGAGCUAGACUGUUGCAUUUGCCAAUACAAUGGGGAAGAACAGGAAUAAACCCUCGGUGCAGCCAAAACUGUGAUUUUUUUUUUUUUAAUUUUUUUUUUUCCCAGCAGCCAGCCCAGCCCUGGUGCUGUGGGGGUCUGGGAGAGGCUCCUUUCCCUGUACAUUGAUUUUCCCUCUGGGCAUUUGUGACCAGCCCAGCUCCCACAGCUCCUGGGCUGGGCUCUGUCCCUGGGCUGAGCUCUGUCCCUGGGCUGAUUUUUCAUUUUUGGGAGGGGAAAACCUUUCCAGAAAUGGUGAAAUGGCGCCGGGCCCGUGGAGGUUCUGUGGAUUUUUUGAUGAAUUCAUUUCUGGGAGAGCUCCUGGGUGAACCUUCAGCUCAGAGGGAGGUUGGGUUUCGUGGUCCUGGAGGUCUUUUCCAACCUUGGUUUGGUUGUUCCUUUCCAGCUUUGAUUCCAGAAUUCUUUUCCAACCUUGAUUUGAUUUUUCUUCUCCCACCUUGAUUGGGUCGUUCUUUUCCAACCUUAAUUCAGUGAUUCUUUUCCAAACUUGGUUCAGGUUCUUUUCCAACCUUAAUUCAGUGAUUUUUUUCCCAACCCUGUUUCCGUGGCUCUUUCCCAGCCUCGAUUCCCUCAUUCCAAGAGCCAAAGCUGCCCUGAGUUUAUCUAAAAGCAGUUCACCUAAACUUCCCCCAAAACUUGCAUUUCUGUCAAAACAACAAUUAAGGCUUGAGCUGUUCCCUUAGGGAAAGACCCUGGACUCCCCCUCUGGACACGAAGGAAGCAGGAAGGCCCCUCCUCCCCCUCAGAUCCCACCCUUGGCUGUUUUUUUUUCGGGAGAAUCCCCAAAA